rnacentral:ncRNA from 1 species
CUAGGCUGCGCCGGUCACUGCUCAUCAGUGAUCGGGUUUAGCAGCUCGAUGA